GCUGCUUGAAAUCAAUUUUAAGCUGAAAUGAAUGAAAUAAGCUGCUCCUCUGCAUGGAUCUGGUGGGUUUACUGGUCUCAUUGUAAGGUACAACUUCCCUGUCUAUUUUUUUUUUUUUCCUGAGGGGAAGGAAGGAAGGGUGGGAGGCAAAAUCUGGCAAGAAAACUGCUGCUGUCAGCCUGAGUGGGGGAUGCUGUUGUCUUUACCACAGAGGGGGGAUCCGAAAAGCAGAAAUGAUAUUACCACUGGGCCAGCCAUCAAGCAAGGACGAUGCUCCCAGCACCAAGGGUUUCUACCAUCAUGACUCUGAAGAUCUUUCUUCCAGCCCAGAACUUCAAGGAUGUAAAAUGAAUGUGACCCUGUCCAAGGCUAUUGUCCCAGGAAGUGGUGAAAUGAUGAGGAUGUCCCAGGUCAGCUGCAGUACAGCACCACAGAGAUAAGGAGUGGUGAUCAAUAGGGUUGGUUUCCUCCUUGCUGGAGGAGGCAGGGAGGUUUGGAGCUGGCUGCCAUGAGUUGUUCGGCUAUUUUGAGUCUUACCCAGGGCUUGCAGCACUGGAGCUGAAUUUUCUCUCCUUGUUGUUGUCGUGAGGUUGAAUUUGAGAGCAAAACAUGUCACAGAAGGAGGCACCUCCCACUCUGGCAGGUCCCAGCACAAUCCAAAUCCCCCACCUUGACGUCUGCUCAUGUCACCAGGAGCUGGAGGCAGCUCCAUCACCAAUCCACCACAACUUCAUUUGAAAUAACAUUAUUUUUCCCCUUGAAAUAUCUCUACUUCUCCAGGGAGGACCUGAAUUUGUUAGAGAAGAGGCAAAAAAAACAAAUCCUGAUCCAGAAUAGAUAAGGACAAAGGUUUCCCUGCACAUCCAAAGCACUCUGAGUUGAGCCCUAGGACAUCCAUAUGAUCUACAAGGCUCAGGCCAAGGUGAGGAUAAUCCAUUACAAAAUCCCAGCAGAAGCUAAUGCUAAACAGUCCCUGUGGCACCCAACCCUGUCAAGGCUUUGCCAAAUGCUGGAGGAACUGACCACCCCAUCCUUUCACACCAGGGCUGAGAUGAGGAGUAAUUCAUGAAGCUUCUCUGUUCUCCCUCCAUAUAAUUUUUUAGUGCUUGCCACACUUGUUUGCUUUCUCCAGUAGUCAGAUGAUGACACAAACCACUAAAUAACAUCCUUAAAAAUGUGCUUGUUUCUCUUUAACUCUCUUUAAACUACACAGAAGAGUUUAAUUAUGACUUAGCUCUAGCAGUUGCUGCUACUGGCUGUGUAUCUUAUAGUAAAUAUGUCAGUGCUUGGUGAGGAACUGAGUGCAUACCCGGCCAGUGGAUGCACGAUCUCUGCUCUGUACCCUCUCCUGCUCUGCACCUCCGAUAUCACAGAGAGAUGUGCAUUAAGAACAUUGAGAUUGCUUAGCACCAUUUAUUCUGCAUAAUUUUUCCCACCAGC
rnacentral:lncRNA from 1 species